rnacentral:rRNA from 1 species
GAUGAACGCUGGCGGCGUGCUUAACACAUGCAAGUCGAACGGUGAAGCCCAGCUUGCUGGGUGGAUCAGUGGCGAACGGGUGAGUAACACGUGAGCAACCUGCCCUGGACUCUGGGAUAAGCGCUGGAAACGGCGUCUAAUACUGGAUAUGAGACGUGGCCGCAUGGUCAACGUUUGGAAAGAUUUUUCGGUCUGGGAUGGGCUCGCGGCCUAUAAGCUUGUUGGUGAGGGAAUGGCUCACCAAGGCGUCGACGGGUAGCCGGCCUGAGAGGGUGACCGGCCACACUGGGACUGAGACACGGCCCAGACUCCUACGGGAGGCAGCAGUGGGGAAUAUUGCACAAUGGGCGGAAGCCUGAUGCAGCAACGCCGCGUGAGGGAUGACGGCCUUCGGGUUGUAAACCUCUUUUAGCAAGGAAGAAGCUUUGUGACGGUACUUGCAGAAAAAGCGCCGGCUAACUACGUGCCAGCAGCCGCAGUAA